AGCAGCGUUCCGCCGGCUGGCCGGGCGGUGGGUGGCUUCUGCGGGGCCGAGAGGCGGUGCGGUGGUCUCAUCUCCAGCGCCGGUGCUGUGCGCGCCCUUCUCCGAUCCAGGCCGGGACUGGAGAGCUCAUCUUGUCGUUGGCGGGGAAAAACGUAGCAGCACCCGCGAUUCGCUGCCAGAGCGAUGCUCCGUGGAAGGGACUCAGCCAUGCCGCUUGCUCUCCCUCCAGGGGAAGCACAGGGCACGUUCUCCUCCCUCUGCUUUUCCACCUGUCUCCUGGCAAGCAGAGAAGAAAGGCUGGCUGAGUCCCAUGUACCUCCAAAAUUAAGUACAAGCCUCUGUAAAGCAAGCGUGUAUGUGUACACUCGUUCACAUUCACGCAGUAGUAGUAAGACCUCUUACAAGGCACUCAGACAACAGGAAUAAGAAUCUUUCUGGACUCUCAUCUGUGUUCCCUCAACUCUGACUGGCUUGAAGAAAGGUGUAUAUUUGAAUGUUUUCUUUGGAAGCAUUUUCAGCAUUCAGUCAAGAGUCCAAAACUACUCACAGACUGAAAUAUGAGAUACUGAAUGUAGGAAACCCAAGAUGGCACACUGCUUCUUCGUAUUUAUUUACUUAGCAUUUAGCAUCGUAUCAGUCACCCUUUGCCAAAACCACCAAUGGAAUCAGUUUACUUUAUUGUAUUGAAGUUGCUGGACUUGUCUUUGAAUGUUUAUUCAGCAAAUUGUAUUGCCUCUUCUCAGAGAAAGCAGGAUUCCCCUGCACCUAAGUGCUUGCAAUGAUCAAGUGUUUCCCUGCGUCUGCUUCUAUCUUUUUUUCUAUUGGGAUUUGCUCAACAUCACGAUGCUGUAUAUUUUGCACUGUACCUUUCAGCCUUCAUUUUCCAUUCUUUGUCACCAAACAGUUCUACUGAGAUAAACAAGUGAUGAAAUAGUCUUAAAUACCUAUGGAGAGGAAGCUCUUUAAAAACUCAUUUCUCUGAAGGGUGCAUGGUCUCAGGUCAUUAAGGAAGUGCUAACAGUAGACAAAUUUACCCUGCAGAGCUUGCUUUAGCCUGGGAUCUGGGUAUUAAAAUAUUCUGUACUCAUAUUUUCCACUUGGUUCUUCAUCAGGUAAUGAUUACACCUUGCAACAGUUGAGACUGCAUCAGGAUUUACAUUGAGGUCCCCUGUCUCCAAAAGAUGCCCAUGCACAGUACAUAAUCAAGCUAAAAAUCUACAUUCUGAAGACAGAAUUGCUAUAGUUGAUGUUAUUUUGUCUGAAAUCCACAUCAUAUCCAUCUCCAUGCUCUUAGUACAUUACUUGAACACUGUCAAAGAUGUUGCACUGAAAUGUUCCCUAGGCAGGAACAUUUGCGGAGAAGUAUUUGCAGUAACCAUCUCUGGGGAUGAUUAGGAGCUUGCUUUACUUGUUGUUUUGUUACUACGGGGAAAAACAAACAAACAAAAAAACAAAAACCAAAAAACCAAAAAAAAACCAAAACCAAAAAAAAACUAACAAACAAACAAACAAACAAACAAAAAACAACACCACAGUAGGCAAAGUUUGCAGUUUUAUCACUGUUAGGAUUCAGUGCAUGUAAAGCAAUGAAUGGGCAAUGAUUCAGUGGUUCUCAAAAUAUUUUAGAAGUCAUGCAAACAGUGACAACUCGUUUUUAAAGCUGACACUUUCCUCCCAAGACCCAGUAACACUGACAGAAGCAUGCCCAGAAAUGGUGAUUUUCACCUUUCUCUUCUGAAUUGGUUCUGAAAUGAGCUAGCAACAAGAAGGUGGCAUUACUCCUCCACAUCAUGCAGCACAAAUCUUUAGUAAACAUUAGAAAACCAAACCCAGGGUUCAAGCACCACCAAUAAACCAUUCCAGUGAAGAAGAAUGAAAAGUCUUUAUAAUUUGUAAGUGAGUUUUCUUUCCAUUUUCCUGAAAGAGAAAAAAAUUCCAACCAGAAUCCCUUGGCUUAUUUGAUCAACUGUAUAUCUGAAGCAUUUAUUUAUUAAAAUUGUUUGAACUGCCAGAGAAGAUGUCAUCUUUUUCUUUGUAUACGUAGCAUCAUAUCUUAUGACAUUCACUGGCAGCUCCUAUAUAAACCUAACACCUACCAGACAGAACCUUGUAAUUGGUCUGUGAAGCUGAAGCUUAUGCAUGAAAUGGCUAGAGGCUUCAUUACUUCCAGACCAAAAGGGCAACAGGGACUAUUAAGGAAGUAUACUGCAGAACAGAGUAAAAAAUAAUACCUUAAGAUAACAACAGGAGGUCAGCACUGAAAACCAGCUGCACAAGGUAAACAUUUUAUAAGAGUGAGAAAAAAAAAUCUGCUUUAUAUUGAUAUCCAUCAAGGUGGUGCAUACAAAUGCUUCCAGUACCAAACCAAGCAAAAUAAUUCAAUCUCCAAGCAAGGUUCAGAAAGAGGCAGCAAUCCUUCUCUCUGAAUUGCUAAACAGCAAAUUGUCCAGCUUCCUCCUCAUUUUCAACAUAGAUUCCAUGUUCUUGUACCCCAAAAUUUGUAUUCAUUCAAAAGCUAGCAGACAAACAUUUCCUCUAGCAGAUCUGUCAGCAUUCUAACUUGCUUCCUGUCAAUUAUGUCAUAUUCUUCCCUUUUUAGAUGGAAUAUUUUUCACAGGUGUUGGUGAACAGUUAAUGAAACUUCAAAGAGCCCUGGUAGACAGGUCAGUUCACUGACUGCUUCAUAUCUAGGUCCACUGCAUGCUCUCUUAUGCUUGUACACUUUUCUUUCCUGAUCAGCAAGACUUUCAGCUCCUCUCUAAAAAGUUACCCUCCAUCUCCUCUAGAAGGAGCCAUCUGUGUUGUAGUGGAUCAGUCUGCCUAUAGAGUUUGCCUUGAAAGAAGCAAUUUCUGAAGGGAUGACCACGAUUUUAAUUAUGUCAAUCCUCCUUGAUUGCAUCACUUAGUCUUCAGAUUAUAGAAAGGAAGCAAUAGCAUUCAUAUGACAAAAUCUUGUGGUUCUAUUGAGUUUACUACAGAGUAGAAGAUGGAGGAAGGAUUUAAAAGGAGAGAAGUUCCUAUUAUUACAGGCUGUGAAACAUACCUAUAGAAAUGCUUGUUCUAUGUUAUCUUCUUCUGUAUAUGGUUUUAAGUAAAUUUUGAAUACUCUAGAGGGUAGUGAAGCAAUAGUAAAAAUAUGAUUUUGAUAUGAUACUAAUACUGAAAGGCCUACAUGAGACAAGCUAGCUGUUUCGUAAGACAGACCUAUACUGUCCUGACUCACAGUACUGCUAAACACUCACAUUCACACCUAAAAUUGUAAUUUGGACUGUAUUUACAUGGCUCAGCAUAAAAAUGCUGUGACAGAAACACUGUGCAGCUGCCACCUAGCAUCUGGUUGGAUAACAGCCAUUUCUUGAAGUGGCAAGUUCUCUAUUCUUGUAUUUGCCCCCUCCUACCUGAAAGUGGCAGAAUGGUCCUUCUCCAAAAGACAACAUGUAUAGUCAUUCAAAGUACAUUUCCCUGACCAGUGCACCAUUAUUAGUUUAUGUGGAAAUCAGAGAAUUUUGACUGAAGUCCGUGUAUUUGUGGUUUGUACUACCCUUCUAACAUAUUUCAGCGUGUGAAACAGAAGAGUUAGGGUUUUGCUUGUUUUGGGUGAGAAAUUUUGUAUGGUGGAAAGGAGUUGCUGUUGUUUUAAAUGAUGUUGGUUUGGUUGAAGCCGAUCUGUAAAAAAAACAAAAACUGGAUAACAUAUACUUACCGGAUGCCAGUGAAACUGCAUUGGUUUGAACAAAUACUGUAACUACUAAUUUAGUUAAAUCUAUCCAACUGUGAAAAUAUAUUGGCGUGAAUAAAAAUAUAUAGAUGUGAAUCGC
ensembl:lncRNA